rnacentral:rRNA from 1 species
GAUGAACGCUGGCGGCGUGCCUAAUACAUGCAAGUCGAGCGAACAGACGAGGAGCUUGCUCCUCUGACGUUAGCGGCGGACGGGUGAGUAACACGUGGAUAACCUACCUAUAAGACUGGGAUAACUUCGGGAAACCGGAGCUAAUACCGGAUAAUAUAUUGAACCGCAUGGUUCAAUAGUGAAAGACGGUUUUGCAGUCACUUAUAGAUGGAUCCGCGCCGCAUUAGCUAGUUGGUAAGGUAACGGCUUACCAAGGCAACGAUGCGUAGCCGACCUGAGAGGGUGAUCGGCCACACUGGAACUGAGACACGGUCCAGACUCCUACGGGAGGCAGCAGUAGGGAAUCUUCCGCAAUGGGCGAAAGCGUGACGGAGCAACGCCGCGUGAGUGAUGAAGGUCUUCGGAUCGUAAAACUCUGUUAUUAGGGAAGAACAAAUGUGUAAGUAACUAUGCACGUCUUGACGGUACCUAAUCAGAAAGCCACGGCUAACUACGUG